UUAGGGAGGAUUUCUUCUGUGUGUGAGGGAGAGAGCCACAGGGCCCUACACUGCUCCAGCCACCCCAACAAGGAAUGUUGCUGAGGGCAGGGAAAGAGUGUGGAGAGUGAUCAGGAGCCAGCCCAGAGCUCCCCAGGCCCCAGGGCAGCUUUGGCCAUGUCUAUUCACAUCUGGCUCCCAUGGCCUUACCCGACUCCCUGGCAGUGCCCAGUUCCCUGUGGCAGAAAGAGAUCCCAGCACACCCUGGAAAAUGUUCUCAUCUGUGCUGCCUUGUAGAUGAGGGUGCUGGGAAGGCUUCUCCAUCAGCUUGGAUGAAUAAAGUUUUGAAGCCCUUGGAGCCUCCUGCAGAUGUGUCUACAGGGAAGACUUCUCCAGCUUCUCCAGCUGCUACCUUGGAUGCUGCACUCAAGCCCAGCUCCCGUCACAGGGGUGCUCCAACAGGGAAAAUCCAAGAUACAACAGAUAAGAUAUCCCUGGAACCAUCCAAACAGAUGAGGCAAGAGCUGGAGGAACUCCUGCAGACAAGACAAGGUGGGU